GAUGCAGUUAUAUCUCGAUCAUAUAAAAUAAAACUUAUUUUAAAUUUAAUAAAAUUUCCAAUCAGCAAAUAAUUAUUUCAUUACACGCGUAAUAAAGUUUACAGAAACAAACGACUCCCAUACAAACGAAAAAAAAAGAAAAAGAAACGCACACAAUACUAUUAUUACUUCCACAAUUUCCUUUAUUCAAAUGUAACAGAAUAAAUGAACAAUGGUCAUGGCAUGGUCCAUUUGCGGUUGCCUUUCAUGAAUAUCGUUCUUAAUAUCGUACAAAGAAGCCUUGAUUACGACUCGAUCCCCUAGGCAAAUUCGUUAGAUGGCAUGACAUCCUUGUGGUACUGGAAGACUUGAUGAAGCUAAGACUCGAUUCCCUUGGCAAAUUCGUUGGAUGGCACGACAUCCUUGUGGUACUGGAAGACUUGAUUAGGUUGUGUCUCGGUCCCAACCGCAAAUUCAUUAGAUGGCACGGCAUCUUUGUGGUAUUGGAAUACUUGAUUAGGUUGCGACUCGAUCUCCUUGAAACCUUCAUUUGAUGGCACGACAUCCUUGUUGUACUGGAAGACUUGAUUAGGUUGUGACCCGAUCCCUUUGGAAAAUUCAUUUGACGGCACGACAUCCUUGUGGUACUGGAAGACUUGAUUAGGCUGCGAUUCGAUUCCCUUGGCAAAUUCGUUGGAUGGCACGAUAUCCUUGUGGUACUGGAAGACUUGAUUAGGCUGCAAUUCCAUCCCCUUGGAAAAUUCAUUAGAUGUCACGACAUCCUUGUGGUACUGGAAGACUUGAUUAGGCUGCGACUCGAUCUCCUUGGCAAAUUCAUUAGAUGGCACGGCAUCCUUGUGGUACUGGAAGACUUGGUUAGGCUGCAACUCGAUCUCCUUGGCAAAUUCAUUAGAUGGCACGGCAUCCUUGUGGUACUGGAAGACUUGGUUAGGCUGCAACUCGAUCUCCUUGGCAAAUUCAUUAGAUGGCACGGCAUCCUCGUGGUACUGGAAGACUUGAUUAGGUUGCGACUCGGUCCCUUCCGCAAAUUCAUUAGAUGGCACGAUAUCCUUGUGGUAUUGGAAUACUUGGUUAGGUUGCGACUCGAUCUCCUUGGAAAAUUCGUUGGAUGGCACGGCAUCCUUGUGGUACUGGAAGACCUGAUUAGUAUCACAACGUACAUCGGCGUGAUCAGAGUUUGCAGCAGGCAGUAGGGAUUCGAUUGCUUUGGGCAUAAGCUGAUCUUUCAUCACAGAUUUCCAGUAACCCCCUAUUGAGUCUUUUCUUGCAUUGAC
rnacentral:lncRNA from 1 species